CCUUGCGUGCAUUAACUUCAUGGUGGGCUCUUUCUGCUGUCCUAAUGGUCGGCGCCGUCCGGGUCGGCCUCCUCGGUCGCGGGCCAUUCCAUUGCCGGCGGGAGAAGCACGUAGAGGCGACGACACGGUGGGGCUUUGUACAGCGGCCACGGGCCGGCCCGCCAGUUACCGUUGAGCUGUGCAAGGAUCGGAAGCCGCCAGGGACGUCAAGGCCAGGCCACUGGGCGCGCACUCGAUGGAGGCGCAGAAGGGACCAGGGACCGUUGGUGGCGCGGCGGCGAAGGGGGGCUUCACCGAGCCGCCGCUAGGUCCUGUCUUAAUGGUCCGCGGCGUCCCGGUCGGCCUCCUCUGCUGCGCGGAGCCGUGGUCGGUCGUCGUUCUACUGCUCCGCUCGAUCGGUAUCUCGACUCAGCCUGCGGUUAUGAUGGAUAGUUCCAUGUCUGAUGCUCAGUUACUGCGAUGGGGUGGCCACUCUGCUCGGUCCCUCGGCUCUGGGUGCAUGGCGGAUCCUUCGGUUCUUCAGUCUCGUGGUGACCAUCUGGCCUUCUUCUUUGGCGUCCGAUUCUGCGGCUGAUGGUUCCUCCACGCGGCGGAGGGAAGAGAUCCGGUUGGGAAAGCGCCCGGUCGAUUCAAUUAUUGGUGCUUCUUUUGUGAAUCCAAUCGGUGUGUGGACUGGACUGCUCCUUCCCGUCAUCUUUCUGUCUCGGCUCUGGUAUUUUCUUGCUUCUUUCUGUUCGUUUUUCCUUCCGCUGGAUGUGACAUCUGGUUGCAUGCAUGCUUUGCUUACUGUUGGUUGUCUAGGUAGAUGUGGAUUGGGACAAGCGGUGGGUCUAGCGGUUGGUAGACGGAGCCAGGUUGGCGUCUAGCAGGGCGAUUGGUCGUGGUCAAACUAAACAGUGUUUGUGUACUGUGUACUGUAUUUUAAUAUUGUGUCUCUAACUACUAAGAGCAAGUACAAUAAAGUGAUAAUAAAGUGAUGUAGGCGGGCUGUAAAACAUUAAAUAUUAUAUUCUUGCUUACUUGGAAGAGAGAGAAGAGGAGAGAGAAGAGAAGCGGACUACUAGUUAACAGCCGGCUGCAGCACGCGCUUCUAGGUACUUUGUGAGAGAGUGGGAUGGGCCAUGUAUCAACAAAGUAGUACAUGUUUAUAUCUAGCUUAUUGUACUUGUUGGCUAUAAGCUUGGCUAUAUGUGACAUGGCAACAUCAUAUAGCCAGCAGCUGGCUAUAUUAUUAACCAUGCUCUAAGGGCAUUUUAGGUUGUACGUGUGUGUUUGCAUGCAUGGCCAUGCACGCGAUCGACGUGGUCGCAUCUGCCCGUCUGUUUUUUGCUAGGGGCACCCGAAGCUGUACACGCAUGCUUUGGUGCAUGGGUCAUGCGCUUGGCCGACGUGGUUAUGUCUGCGUUCUGUUCUGAUGUCAGGGUUAUCCCAGAUUGUACACCCAUACUUGGGUGCAUGGGCCAUGUACGUGGCCUACGUGCCGGGCCAGUGUCACGGUGUGCUGCUAGGAGAACCCCGGGUUGUACGUGUAUUCUUGGGUGCAUGGCCAUGCCCGUGGCUGGGUUGGUCGUGUUGUGCUUGUUCUCUUACUCUCGUGUGUUUGGUCGUCUAUUUUGUUUUUGUUUUUUUCCUUCCUAUGUGCCUGUUUGGUUCAUCGGUUGUACUAUUUGCAGGAGGCUUGGUUUUGCCUGCUUACGAUACGAGGCUCUUGGUGCGUCAGGCGUUUUUCAUGGCUCCUCUUUCAAAAGAUGUUGCUAUACUCAAGAGUAUGGAUUUGUGUGCUUAUUUCUUAAAAAAAAAGAAUUUAUGUGGUGUUUUCAGCUUUUUUUUAUUGUGGUGUUGUGUGACGCAGCUGUUUUGUAGAGGGUGUUCGUAUUACGGCGGUACGGACCUUAUGUGUGAGUGGAGCGGUGCAUUUUAUUGGUUCCAUGAUGGUUCGGUUCACCAUGCGGGUCCAACUGCUCGACGGCCUGUUUAUACUGGGUGUUGUCGUGGCGGCAAAGUUGCUUUGCCUAAAUUUCUUGAUUGGCCUUCUCCUCUGGAUAGUCUAUUGUGAUUUGAUGGAGAUGCAUCUUCUAAACGAUUUAUGUGUUUGAUCAGGCAGGAGAGGAACUACAGAGUUCGCCUCUCGACAUCUUGUUUGGUAACCGGAGUUUUGACCCAUGGUAUAACUCUAUGUUUUGUUUUACAUCCUUGGGGUGCUUAUAUUGAUCAGAGUAUCAACGUUGGUGGUGCUCCCUAUGUGUUCAAGAUGAAUGGGGCCAUAUACCAUCGUAUUGGUGGUACCCCCUAUGUGUUCAAGAUGAAUGGGGUCGUAUACCAUCGUGUUCGUCCGCUUUUACCACCUCAGGAUUCUCUCCUAAAUUUCCACAAUUAUAUAUGAUUGAUUAUGCUGAUGAAGUUGAGAGUAGGAUUAAUAAAAAAAGAAGUUAUUUUCCUUUAAUCAAGAGGUUUAGUGUGUAAUGAUAAUGAAUGGUUUAAGUUGUUUGAUGAAAUUGUUGUAUAGGCAAGUCCAUUCCAGCUGA